rnacentral:lncRNA from 1 species
GAAAAUAUGAGCAAAACCAAACCGCUCCAGACCUGCUGUUUAGCCUGUUCUCAUGUGUGACUAAACAGAGUGAGCAGCCUGGUCACAGCUGUGUGGGAGUGGGCUCGAGUGACAGAGCAAAACAUGUGAGCUGCAGGUGAUGGAUGGAGAGCUCUCCCUGCUUCUCUGGGCUGAAUUGUGCCCUUGGCUUGGACUGGCUUCAGCUUUCCAUGGGAAACCCUGCCUGUCCCUGCCAGCCUGGCUGUGUGCCUGGCUGUGUGCCUGGCUGUGUGCGUGGGUGAUGGAUGGUGGCUUGGAUGUCACCCAGGCAACGAAACCUUGCUGGUGUGCUCCUGGACGUGUGGCAUUGCCUGGGGCUGUGUGUGGGGACUCAGAUUCCCUGCUCUUCCCCACGGCUCCUGAGGGACAUGAGCAGCUCUGACCUCUCUGGAGGAGUAUGGAGGGAUGAAAUGGGAAGCCUUGGAGAGCCAGUGCCCAAACAGAGACGUGCCAGGUUUGCUGAUCAGACUGUGUGUGGCACAAUCAGAGCCCUUGUGCCUUCAAAGGGACCCUCCAAGAAGAACAAGUCGAGACUCAUAAACAUUCUCAUACAGGAGGAGAAAACAAGGUGUCAGAAUCUCGAAGUCUGUGUUGUGGUGGGGCUCGGUGUGUCCAGCACGGCUGCCUUGGAUGAGGCACCCACACUCAAUUACUCGUGUCCCUGCUGUGCACAGAGCCUGAAGGUUUCAAAAGGUUUUGGCUCACAUCUCUUCCUUUCAGAGGCUACUUCCCCCAUGAGUGUAGAUGCCACUGCACAUCCCAGAUCUCCUUCCAUGACAAUCCCAGGGCACUGAGAGGCAUUAGGACAUUUUUCAUCAGGGCACUGAACCAGAAGGCUGAAAACUUGAGUUAGUGUGAGUGGGACAAGGGGUUGGGGUGCCCAUCUUCAGAGAUCUUCAAAGUUUGACCAGAAAAUGCCCAGAGCAAACUGAUUUCAUCUUUGAAGCUGGUCCUUGGAAAUUGGAAUGAGAAGUUGGACCACAGACUGCCAGAGGUCCCUCCUUACCUAAAUGAGUCUGUGAUUGCAGGCAUGGCUUGAGGUAAAACUCAUCCUUCUGGUCCUGAGGUCUCCAUCUCCAGUGGAGGGAAAGUCACCUUCCUGAUUCUGCAUUACCCAUCCAGCUGAAAUCAUAAAGCGGAAAGUCAAAAAUAAAAUACCCAAUCCCUUUUUUCA